UACGUAGGGAGCAAGCGUUAUCCGGAAUUAUUGGGUGUAAGGGGUGCGUAGACGGGAUAACAAGUUGGUUGUGAAACCCCUCGGCUCAACUGAGGAACUGCAACCAAAACUAUUAUUCUUGAGUGCAGGAGAGGAAAGUGGAAUUCCUAGUGUAGCGGUGAGAUGCGUAGAUAUUAGGAAGAACACCGGUGGCGAAGGCGGCUUACUGGACUGUAACUGACGUUGAGGCUCGAAAGCGUGGGGAGCAAACAGG
rnacentral:rRNA from 1 species